rnacentral:lncRNA from 1 species
CCAUCCUACCUUUAAAAUUAAAUGUGUUAUUUGCUCGAGAGCUUUCUCUGCAUCAACCAAUUCUCUGUAUCGAACAAAACCCACAACAACUAUGCGUUAUCAACCAAUUACAGGGUCAAUAUAAUCAAAAUAAAAUAGCACCAAGGUGGACAUCUCGAAACAAAAUUACGAAACAUGCAGAGAGUAAUUACGAAACAAAAACCCUUACCUCGAAAGGGGAACGAACACGCAGCUACACUUGCAGCAUCAACCACAUCCUACCUAGGUUAGCUCCUACCUACACGGAAUCACUGCUUGAUCGGAACAAAGACGGAGGAAACCGAUUUCAAUCGGUGAAAAAUGAAGGAAAAAGCAAAAAAAAAUCGGUCAAAAGGUGAGAAGAUGAAGAUACAAAGAAACCCUAGCAGUUGAGGGUAAAAGAUGAAGGUGAGAGGCUGAGAGGUAAAGGAAAAUGCUUACCGCUUGAAUUGUGGCGACUGAGAACUGUGACGAGAGCCUCCGAUGAUGGAGACGAGAGAAACGUUCUCG